rnacentral:lncRNA from 1 species
CAUGGAUGAAAUGAGAAGUCCAGUCCUGUGUUUGGACCUCGUGGAGGAGGCUGCUGAAGUGUCUGCGUGGUCCUUCGGGUGUCCCCGGCCUCCUGCAAUGCCAGAUGACAUGGUUUC